rnacentral:rRNA from 1 species
AUUGAACGCUGGCGGCAGGCCUAACACAUGCAAGUCGAACGGUAACAGGAAGCAGCUUGCUGCUUCGCUGACGAGUGGCGGACGGGUGAGUAAUGUCUGGGAAGCUGCCUGAUGGAGGGGGAUAACUACUGGAAACGGUAGCUAAUACCGCAUAAUGUCGCAAGACCAGAGAGGGGGACCUUCGGGCCUCUUGCCAUCGGAUGUGCCCAGAUGGGAUUAGCUUGUUGGUGGGGUAACGGCUCACCAAGGCGACGAUCCCUAGCUGGUCUGAGAGGAUGACCAGCCACACUGGAAGUGAGACACGGUCCAGACUCCUACGGGAGGCAGCAGUGGGGAAUAUUGCACAAUGGGUGCAAGCCUGAUGCAGCCAUGCCGCGUGUAUGAAGAAGGCCUUCGGGUUGUAAAGUACUUUCAGCGGGGAGGAAGGGAGUAAAGUUAAUACCUUUGCUCAUUGACGUUACCCGCAGAAGAAGCACCGGCUAACUCCGUG